CUGGGCCUCUGAGGCCCAGAGGCUAGGGGUCCGCGCGCUGGUGUGGGCAGAGCGAGGCUGAAGCUCUGAGCCGGGGCCCGGCCACCCGCUUCUUCCUUACGCACCGAGGUCUCGGAGGCAGCGCCCAGCCUGGGAUUCCCACAGCUGAGCAGCCUCGGCUGGCAGAACCAGCUCUGCGAAGAUGGCCGGCAGCCCGAUGCCUGCCCAGUGCGGGGCCCUGAUGUUAAUAAAGCAGUCGCUUUAGUGGAGCUUCUUCACAGAACUUUCUCCAAUUCUGAAAUAUUUUAUUGUGAAGAAAAAUGAAGCGAAAUAGCACCAAAUGCAACAGUACCAAGUCGGGCAG